GCUUGAGCACGUAGGUGGGUUUGUAAGUCAGAUGUGAAAGCCUUCUGUUCAACGGAAGAAUUGCAUCUGAAACUACAAGUCUUGAGUGUAGGAGGGGAGAAUGGAACUUCUGGUGGAGCGGUGAAAUGCGUAGAUAUCAGAAGGAACGCCGGCGGCGAAAGCGAUUCCCUGGCCUAUUACUGACACUCAGUGUGCGAAAGCUAGGGGAGCAAACGGGAUUAGAUACCCCGGUAGUCCUAGCCGUAAACGAUGGGCACUAAGUAGAGGGGAUUACCGAUGUUCUCUCUGCCGUAGCUAACGCAUUAAGUGCCCCGCCUGGGGAGUACGGCCGCAAGGCUAAAACUCAAAAGAAUUGACGGGGGCUCGCACAAGCGGUGGAGCAUGUGGCUUAAUUCGAUGCAACGCGAAGAACCUUACCGGGGCUUGACAUGGUAGAAGUAGGAACCCGAAAGGGUAACGAACGGUAUCCAGUCCGUGACUAUCACAGGUGUUGCAUGGCUGUCGUCAGCUCGUGUCGUGAGACGUUGGGUUAAGUCCCCUAACGAGCGAAACCCUUGUUUUUAGUUACCAGCGGGUUAUGCCGGGUACUCUAGAAAGACUGCCGUCGUCAAGACGGAGGAAGGUGGGGAUGACGUCAAGUCAUCAUGGCCCUUAUGCCCCGGGCUGCACACGUGCUACAAUGGUCGGUACAAACGGAAGCGAAGCCGAGAGGUGAAGCGAAUCCAAGC
rnacentral:rRNA from 1 species